rnacentral:misc_RNA from 1 species
GAUGAAGAACGUAGCGAAAUGCGAUAAGUAGUGUGAAUUGCAGAAUUCAGUGAAUCAUCGAAUCUUUGAACGCACAUUGCGCCCCUUGGUAUUCCAUGGGGCAUGCCUGUUCGAGCGUCAUUUGUACCUUCAAGCUCUGCUUGGUGUUGGGUGUUUGUCUCGCCUCUGCGUGUAGACUCGCCUCAAAACAAUUGGCAGCCGGCGUAUUGAUUUCAGAGCGCAGUACAUCUCGCGCUUUGCACUCAUAACGACGACGUCCAAAAGUACAUUUUUACACUCUUGACCUCGGAUCAGGUAGGGAUACCCGCUGAACUUAAGCAUAUCAAUAAGCGGAGGA